rnacentral:rRNA from 1 species
UACGGAGGGAGCUAGCGUUGUUCGGAAUUACUGGGCGUAAAGCGCACGUAGGCGGCUUUGUAAGUUAGAGGUGAAAGCCUGGAGCUCAACUUCAGAACUGCCUUUAAGACUGCAUCGCUCGAAUCCAGAAGAGGUGAGUGGAAUUCCGGGUGUAGAGGUGAAAUUCGCAGAUAUUCGGAAGAACACCAGUGGCGAAGGCGGCUCACUGGACUGGUAUUGACGCUGAGGUACGAAAGCGUGGGGAGCAAACAGG